rnacentral:lncRNA from 1 species
UGUUGAUGUUCAUGGGUGAUUGAUCAUCCUGUAGUGACGGUGGUAUUGACUGUUCCCCAAAGGACAAGGAGUGUGUUCUUACAAUGGACAUCAUGAUUGGGAUUGUCUUUAUUAAACUUUGUCAGGAGAGUAAAGAUGAAUGUGGCCGCGUGUUGUGGCUCAUGCCUGUAAUCCCAGCACUUUGGGAGGCCGAGGUGGGCGGAUCACCUGAAGUCGGGAGUUCGAGACCAGCCUGACCAACAUGGAGAAACCCCGUCUCUACUAAAAAUACAAAAUUAGCUGGGCAUGGUGGUGCAUGCCUGUAAUUCCAGCUACUCAGGAGGCUGAGGCAGGAGAAACGCUUGAACCCGAGAGGCGGAGGUUGCAGUGAGCUGAGAUUGUGCCGUUGCACUCCAGGCUGGGCAACAAGAGUGAAACUGCAUCUCAAAAGAAAAAAAUAAUAAUAAUAAAAUAAAA